GUCUCCCCCUGGUGGCCAGUGUUCAGUACUACAUGUCUCCCCCUGGUGACCAGUGUUCAGUACUACAUGUCUCUGUAGUGUGUAGCUGUAGUGUGUAUAUAGCUGUAGUGUGUGUAUAGCUGUAGUGUGUGUCUAGCUCUAGUGUGUGUGUGUAUAGCUGUAGUGUGUGUGUAUAGCUAUAGUGUGUGUAUAGCUGUGGUGUGUGUCAAGCUGUAGUGUGUGUAUAGCUGUGGUGUGUGUCAAGCUGUAGUGUGUGUAUAGCUGUAGUGUGUGUCAAGCUGUAGUGUGUGUCUAGCUGUAGUGUGUGUAAAUAGCUGUAGUGUGUGUGUGUCUAGCUGUAGUGUGUGUUUAUAGCUAUAGUGUGUGUAUAGCUGUAGUGUGUGUGUGUCUAGCUGUAGUGUGUGUAAAUAGCUGUAGUGUGUGUGUGUAUAGCUGUAGUGUUUGUGUGUCUAGCUGUAGUGUGUGUCCUCUCUACAGGUAGUUUAUGUGAGUUCCCCUUCCCUGUGCCUCCCGAGGCCCUACUACCUGAUGAUGAGUGUUGUCUGGUGUUUGUAGUGGAGCUGAACAAGGGACCCUACGGACUGGGCAUGGGACUCAUAGACGGACUGCACACGCCUCUGAAUGCUCCAGGGAUCUAUAUCAGAACUCUGAUACCAGACGGUCCGGCGGAGUCCGACGGGAGGCUGAGGAUUGAGACCGGAUACUAGCGGUUAACGGGACCAGCCUGAUAGGAGCAGACUACCAGAGUGCUGUGGAUCUGAUUCGUCUAGGCGGAGGACGCCUGCGUUUCCUGGUGGCCAAGUCAGACCUGGAGGUCUCAGAGAAGAUCAGCGCUUCGUCCUGCUGACUGGAGGGAACGGCGGGAAUCUCCACGGGAACCGCUGCCCCCACAGCUCCACCAGGAGAGACGAGGAAGAGAGGAGAUGGAUUCCAGGGAACCGCUACCCCACAGCUCCACCAGGAGAGACGAGGAAGAGAGGAGAUGGAUUCCAGGGAACC